UACGGAGGGUGCAAGCGUUAUCCGGAUUCACUGGGUUUAAAGGGUGCGUAGGCGGGCAGGUAAGUCAGUGGUGAAAUCCCCGGGCUUAACCUGGGAACCGCAUUUGUGACUGCAUAGCUGGAGUACGGCAGAGGGGAUGGAAUUCCGCGUGUAGCAGUGAAAUGCGUAGAUAUGCGGAGGAACACCGAUGGCGAAGGCAGUCCCCUGGGCCUGUACUGACGCUCAUGCACGAAAGCGUGGGGAGCAAACAGG
rnacentral:rRNA from 1 species